rnacentral:rRNA from 1 species
UACGAAGGGGGCUAGCGUUGCUCGGAAUCACUGGGCGUAAAGCGCACGUAGGCGGGUCUUUAAGUCCGGGGUGAAAUCCUGGAGCUCAACUCCAGAACUGCCUUUGAUACUGAGGAUCUCGAGUCCGGGAGAGGUGAGUGGAACUCCGAGUGUAGAGGUGAAAUUCGUAGAUAUUCGGAAGAACACCAGUGGCGAAGGCGGCUCACUGGCCCGGUACUGACGCUGAGGUGCGAAAGCGUGGGGAGCAAACAGG